AAGUCUAAUAGGUCUCUUUGUAUGUUGGAAGCUCGCGACAAGUCACAACCACAUGGUUAGCUCAAACCUAUAUUAUUCUUUUUUCUUUUGGCCCUUCGUUCUUGCUUCGGGAAAAAUUUUGUUCUUGAGCUUCUAGACCCUUCUUCUUCUGACUUUCUAUGUGAAGCAAUGGUAACUACUUCAACCCUAAAGCUGGAGAACUUCUUUGAAGGUGCUACCAUGGGGACCCAUCACUAUGAAAGCAAUGACAGAGAAGCUAUGGCUCUGAGCUUAGACAGCAUGUUUUACAAUCAGAUGCCAGGCCAUGAGGUCAACAACCAAAAUUGCCUGGACCAUUUUGAUUAGAGCUCCAGGCUCCAACAGCCAUAGCAAAUUCAAGCCCAACACUACUCGUAUUACUCUGGCUUUAAAAUCCAUGCUAUAAUACUAGGGGACACAAGGGAGUCUCAGUUUGCAGAUUGCAAUCUCCGGCUUCCAACAAUGGCAGAUGAUAGGGUCUCUGGCUUGAAGAAAUAGAUCUCAAGGACCUGUCCAGUUAAUCAGUUGGGGGAACAGAAGAUGAUUGGUUGCCUGGGUGACAAUGGUAGUGAAUCUGGAGCUAUCGGUGCAAUGUCAUGUGGCGAUUUACAUUCUUUAAGCUUGUCCGUGAGGUCUAGCUCCCAAUCAAGCUAUGUUAUAGGUUCACAGCUCAUCUCACCCACUGUCACUGACUAUAUAGGCAUGGAUACCAAGAAAAAAGGGCCUGAAAAGGUGGAUCAAAAGCAAAUUGUUCAUAGGAACUUAGGAAGUCCUUGGAUACGUUUGGGCAGAGAACCUCCCAGUAUAGAGGUGUUACAAGGCAUAGAUGGACUGGUAGAUAUGAAGCCCAUCUGUGGGACAACAGCUACAAAAAAGAAGGCUAGAGUAGGAAAGGAAUGCAAGGUUUGGAAACAAGACAAAUUAUAUAAUCCUCCCCCUGUGAUGUUCUUUUUUUUUAACUUUGAAAGCCUCUGCAAUUAUUUUUGGUCUCUUUCUAUGCUUUUCCUGAACAAUUCCAAGUAUCACUGAUCUGCGAUGUUUCUUUCUUGGCCGGGGAUAUCAUUUCCAAUAAAAUGAUGAUUCUUAGUUUAUCUGGGCGGUUAUGACUUGGAAGAAAAAGUAGCAAGAGCGUACGAUCUUGCAGCACUCAAGUAUUGGGGACCCUCUACUCACAUCAGUUUCCCUGAAAUGAUUCUCUUCUCUUUAUGUUCCACUCUGUCAAGGAAGGUUACUUUAAUGUUAGUUACCUAAACUCAACCAUGAUGUUCCUUUUGGUAGUUGGAGAGUUAUAAAAAAGAACUGGAUGAAAUGAACAUGAUCAGACAGGAAUAUGUUGCUCACCUAAGAAGGUCGUUUUCUUCAAACCCCCCACUCCUCUCUCCAUGACGCCGCGGUGCAAGCAGUAGCAUGUUUUCUGAUUAGUAGAUUACUCAAAAUGUCCUGUGCAGGAAAAGCAGUGAAUUUUCUAGGGGGGCUUCAAUAAAGAGAGGAGUAACAAGGCUCGGAUUGGCUGGGUUGCAGGAAGCAAGGAUCUUUAUCUUGGAACGUUUAGUACCCAAGAGGAAGCGGCAGAAGCCUACGAUAUCACGGCUAUCAAGUUUCGUGGGGUGAAUGCGGUAACUAACUUUGACAUAACAAGGUACGAUGUAGAACGUAUCAUGGCAAGUAGUACCCUUCUUCCUGGAUAAGUUGCAAAGAGACGUAAGCAGACAGGUUCCAAUAUGAUUGAGGCUUUGGACCACCUUCCUACUGAUAAUAGCAACGGGGAAGCAAGUAUCUCCCAGAAGAACAGUGAAUGUGAAUCGGAAUGGAAGACGGCUGACCUCCAUCAGGAAACUAAUCACAAGCCACCAAAAACUGAAAGUUACAGGACCUAAUUUUUCCCAGAGGGUAUGAUUGAAUAACGGGUAGAGGACUCGGCCAAUAAACGAACUCAUUCGUCAAAUGUUUCAUCUUUGGUGACCAGCUGAAGCAGCUCGAGAGAAGGCAGCCCGAAUAGAGCUUGCCUCCCAAUGCUAUUUGGAUUGCCUACAUCUUCCUCCAUGUUGUUAGCUACUCUAACUGGCGCGAAUUCUUGGAUCCCUUCAACUCAAAUGAGGCCUGCUCUCUUCAUGCCACUUUUAGCAGCUUGGACGGAUGCAUAGACUUUGUCUUCUGAUAAAACUAGCAUUUCUUUUGUAUGACCGCGAGGUGAAUUUAAUGUUUGUCAUCUUUGUUGGAGGUAUUAAUUGGGGAUUAAUUGA